GGUUUUCAUUGUCAUUCUUUGUAGCAUUUGUCUCUAUACUUUCUCUAUUCUUUAGUAUAGUUCAGUAUAGCAUUCUUUAACAUAAUAUCAUAUAAUAAAAUAAUAGAUUAACCUUCUAAGAACAUGGGAUCAGAUUUCAUCAUUCCUCCCUCCCUUCGUCCUGAAGACCCUGAAAUUACCACGGGAUGGCUGCAGCUAACUGAGAGGGAGGUCUGCAGGGCUGGGUUCUGAGUGCACUGUGGGUUGGCUGUGCUGCAGAGAGGUGCAGGAGUCAGUGCUGCCCAAGACACCCAGCUUUCAGCAGCAGUGUGUCCCACACAAGUAGUGGGCAUAAGAGUCACUCUUUCAGCUGCAUAGAUAGCUCUAGUUGCUAUCUGACAUGGUAACAGGGCAUUCAAAUCACUGCAACUGGAUGGGAAAGGGAACUUUGAGAGGCCAGUAAGCACCAACCCCCAAAAUAUCUGGACCUGCUGGACCUGCUCUGAGUUUGAUGAACUCAUAAACGAGAGACCCAGACAAGAAGCACUUUGCUAUCAGCCUGGGGAAUUCAGUCAGACACAGUCCAGCAAGCUCAUCCAUAGUUGCUCUGCACUCCCCAGUGCUACUCUCAUUUCUCACCCCAAACACAGGAGAUUGAGGCAGUAACAAAAUCUCAGCAUCACAAAAGCGAGUUGCCAGGGCUGGUGCACAGUCAGUGAU